rnacentral:piRNA from 2 species
GUUGGUCCGAGAGUAGUGGUGUUUA